rfam:Schistosoma mansoni strain Puerto Rico chromosome W, complete genome
UUCACGAGUCCCAAAUAGGACGAAACGCGCGUCCUGGAU